rnacentral:rRNA from 1 species
UACGUACGAGGCGAGCGUUAUCCGGAAUUACUGGGCGUAAAGCGCGCGCAGGCGGAUGUUUAAGUCGGUCGUGAAAUCUCCCGGCCCAACUGGGAGGGGUCGUCCGAGACUGGACGUCUUGAGGGCAGCAGAGGUAGGUGGAAUUCCUGGUGUAGUGGUGAAAUGCGUUGAUAUCAUCAGGAACACCGGUGGCGAAAGCGGCUUACUGGGUCUCUUCUGACGCUGAGGUACGAAAGCGUGGGGAGCGAACAGG